rnacentral:rRNA from 1 species
GAUGAACGCUGGCGGCGUGCUUAACACAUGCAAGUCGAACGAUGAAGCCCAGCUUGCUGGGUGGAUUAGUGGCGAACGGGUGAGUAACACGUGAGUAACCUGCCCUUAACUCUGGGAUAAGCCUGGGAAACUGGGUCUAAUACCGGAUAGGAGCGCCUACCGCAUGGUGGGUGUUGGAAAGAUUUAUCGGUUUUGGAUGGACUCGCGGCCUAUCAGCUUGUUGGUGAGGUAAUGGCUAACCAAGGCGACGACAGGUAGCCGGCCUGAGAGGGUGACCGGCCACACUGGGACUGAGACACGGCCCAGACUCCUACGGGAGGCAGCAGUGGGGAAUAUUGCACAAUGGGCGAAAGCCUGAUGCAGCGACGCCGCGUGAGGGAUGACGGCCUUCGGGUUGUAAACCUCUUUCAGUAGGGAAGAAGCGAAAGUGACGGUACCUGCAGAAGAAGCACCGGCUAACUACGUG